UGGGGAAUAUUGGACAAUGGGCGCAAGCCUGAUCCAGCCAUGCCGCGUGAGUGAUGAAGGCCCUAGGGUUGUAAAGCUCUUUCACCGGUGAAGAUAAUGACGGUAACCGGAGAAGGAGCCCCGGCUAACUUCGUGCCAGCAGCCGCGGUAAUACGAAGGGGGCUAGCGUUGUUCGGAUUUACUGGGCGUAAAGCGCACGUAGGCGGACUUUUAAGUCAGGGGUGAAAUCCCGGGGCUCAACCCCGGAACUGCCUUUGAUACUGGAAGUCUUGAGUAUGGUAGAGGUGAGUGGAAUUCCGAGUGUAGAGGUGAAAUUCGUAGAUAUUCGGAGGAACACCAGUGGCGAAGGCGGCUCACUGGACCAUUACUGACGCUGAGGUGCGAAAGCGUGGGGAGCAAACAGG
rnacentral:rRNA from 1 species